GAGGGGCCAGGCCAGGGCUUAGGGCCGAGGUUCCACCCAGGGAGAAAGGAUCACCACCGAGACCCUGGGACAGGGGCCUACCCACGUCACCGCUCAGUGAAUUUGCCUGGCUUUUUGGGUGUCGGCGACUAACUGAUGUGACCCAGGUUGGGGAAGCCAGUAGAAGCGGAAACAGCAGGUAUCCCAGGACGCCCAAGCCGGAAGUGAGGGCGGCCAUGAAGCCAGAGUCGCAGCCCAGCAGGAGAGGGCAGCUGACCAGGAAAUGUGACAGCGCCUCCACUGGUGAGGACGUGAACUGGACACGUGACGGCCCCUGGAUCCUGGAUGCGUUGGUGGCAUCCCCAGCAGGUGACUUUGAACUAGCGGAUGUGGAUGGAAGGAACCUGAACUGUGUGGAGGCUGAUACUGCAGAUUGCCAACAGGACCACUCUGCCAACAGGGCAGGAUGCCAGACGACCUAACCUCACCUCAGCCCAGGAGCAAAGACGAAAGAAACCUGAGAGGAGAUAUGGUGAAGGAGAAGCAGCCCAAAAACAGAUGGCUGCAUGCUGCGACAGGGAUCCAGAGAUGAACAUCUGCUUUUGGUGAGAGAUGGAGCCCUGGUCCAGCAUGAAGUCAGUCAAUCCACCUACCAGGGCAUCUGCCUGGGUAUUCACCAACAGACAUGGGUGCAGACAGAGCUGAAGUCACCCGGCCACCCAGGCCAGCUCCCUCACCCAGGUCUGAUAGCUGACUUUAGGUAACCACAAUCUAAAGACAUUAAUAAAAAUUU